GGGGGGGGCCCAACCCUCCCAUCCGUGUCUAUUGUACCCUGUUGCUUCGGCGGGCCCGCCGCUUGUCGGCCGCCGGGGGGGCGCCUCUGCCCCCCGGGCCCGUGCCCGCCGGAGACCCCAACACGAACACUGUCUGAAAGCGUGCAGUCUGAGUUGAUUGAAUGCAAUCAGUUAAAACUUUCAACAAUGGAUCUCUUGGUUCCGGCAUCGAUGAAGAACGCAGCGAAAUGCGAUAACUAAUGUGAAUUGCAGAAUUCAGUGAAUCAUCGAGUCUUUGAACGCACAUUGCGCCCCCUGGUAUUCCGGGGGGCAUGCCUGUCCGAGCGUCAUUGCUGCCCUCAAGCCCGGCUUGUGUGUUGGGUCGCCGUCCCCCUCUCCGGGGGGACGGGCCCGAAAGGCAGCGGCGGCACCGCGUCCGAUCCUCGAGCGUAUGGGGCUUUGUCACAUGCUCUGUAGGAUUGGCCGGCGCCUGCCGACGUUUUCCAACCAUUCUUUCCAGGUUGACCUCGGAUCAGGUAGGGAUACCCGCUGAACUUAAGCAUAUCAAUAAGGCGAGAGGAA
rnacentral:rRNA from 1 species